rnacentral:rRNA from 2 species
UAGGUGAACCUGCGGAAGGAUCAUUAAUAAACCUAGUCGUUCGCGUACAUAGGGGCAACCCUCGCGUGAUGUCAGCAAUACCUAGGUAACCCUUGAAUAAACUACCCUUGUUGCUUUGGCGGGCCGCCGUCUCGGCCAGCGGCUUCGGCUGCUGCGCGCCCGCCAGAGGACCACAACUCUUGUUUUUAGUGAUGUCUGAGUACUAUAUAAUAGUUAAAACUUUCAACAACGGAUCUCUUGGUUCUGGCAUCGAUGAAGAACGCAGCGAAAUGCGAUAAGUAAUGUGAAUUGCAGAAUUCAGUGAAUCAUCGAAUCUUUGAACGCACAUUGCGCCCUUUGGUAUUCCGAAGGGCAUGCCUGUUCGAGCGUCAUUAUAACCACUCAAGCUCUCGCUUGGUAUUGGGGUGCGCGGUUCCGCGGCCUCUAAAGUCAGUGGCGGUGCCUGUCGGCUCUACGCGUAGUAAUACUCCUCGCGUCUGGGUCCGGUAGGUUGCUUGCCAACAACCCCCAAAUUUUUACAGGUUGACCUC